AACAUACCCAGCAUUAAAACCAGCCAAAACGAAGAAAUGAAAGGAUGCCACCAAAACUUCAAUUAUUUAAAAUGCAUAGAAGAGACAGACAAUCACCUGUGAAAGUUAGUAAAGAUUUUCCUAAUAACUACUCAGUUGCCCUUCUUAAGUGUGGAAAAGAGCUUUCUGAAGAGGAUUUUUCAUCUCUGAAACUACUUUUACAAUUGAACGAGCUUGUUACAGUAAAAGAUCUUGAAAAAGUAAACAAUUCUAUAGAAUUGAUUUCUUUCUUGGACAAAAGAAGUUUUGUAACAGAUAAGGACUUAGAAUUUUUAAGGAGGUGCUUUAUGGCUAUAGGGAGAAUGGAUUUGAUAAUUAAGUAUAUAGAUACAUGUACAUCUACAUCUACAAACAACAGCUGCACUUCAAGAUCCAAUACGCUACCUCUAUUAAAUUGGCAGCCUUCAAGUGCACAUGGGAGUGCAUCAGGUUCCCAGGAGAACUUUACAGAACUAAAAGAAGGCACAGAUGGUGCUACAGCUGCUGUCAGUAUGAUGGAGGAUGAGGAUAGUGAUGUAAUCCAAAGUUCCCAGGACAGCUUGACUGAUGACGACAAACUGGCAUUGUUUGAGUAAAACUUAUUUGGACAGUGAAAAUGUUAUGAUGUAAAAUAUUGUUAUCAAAUGCAAUGUGUGCUAAGAUUCAAUCUGAAUAUAUGUCUAACUUUACAUCAUUGGGUGAAGAUCUAGACAUUCAGCGUUUAGUGAAAGUUAUUGAUGGUUCAACAGACAAUGAGCUUGCUCAAGAUAAUUUGACAACUGAGAUGGUUUGAAAAUUCUGAUCUUUGUAAAAGAUGAUUUCAUUUAUUUAUCUAUGUGCCAGUACUGAUUUAAUAGGGCUUUAAUGAAUUUUAGUCAGUUAUUUUUAAAUUAAUGAUAUAGCUUAGUCAUGUUAGUAUAGUUUAAAUAAUAAGAACAAUUAGUGCAUAAAGAGUAGACAUGAGUAAUGUAUUUUGUCCAGCAUAUUGUCAUACAUCAUAUAAAUUGUAUUUGAAACAGACAAGUAUUUUUAUGGUUUUUGCCAGAAUGUAGAAUAUUAUUUCUGAAAAAAUGCUGAAAUAGUAAAAAUCAGACACUAAAACACUAAUCAAACACAUAUAAAAUAUACCACCCACAUUGCAUCAGAAAAUAUUUUGUCCAAUGGAAAAUUUAUAUUAAGAUGAUAUUUAAUCAAGGACUUCGACAGUAUUUAUUUUUGUACAUAUCAAACUAUGUGUAAGGUGUAUCAUUUAUACCAGUGUUCAAUUUUUUUGUUAGACCAAACAUUGCAUAUACGUCUUACAAUGAUAUGACACAGCCUUUUUAGCUGAAACAUUUAUGUGAGAGUUCAAAUCAAUUAUUUUCAGAAAUAUUGUAUCUGACUUUUUGGCCACCUACAAGAAUUAUGACUAAAAUGGUUUUUGCUUUAAUUUUGUUUUGCAGAAAUUAUAUAUAUUUACAUGGUGUUAAGAUAACACCACCCAGUUAAUGACCAGAGAUUUUAAUAUUAAAACUUUUUUUUCAAUGCAAUGCAUAAUAUUCUUUUAUGAUAUAUAUUGAUAUGUCUUGAUUAACUAAAUUCAAAGACAGAUAACCAAGGUUCUCCCUGAGGAUUUUAAAACUCAUCAUUUUGUACUACAUGCAUUGCAAGUAAUUAAGAAAAACAGUUUAUCUUAAUUCACCUGUUCAAGUCCUCUUGUAAAAACAAAAUGAGAAUAAAAAUUCAUUUCUUUUUUUAACUUUUACAAGCAUGAGUUGAUAAUGACUAGACUCUGCAGAAAAAAUCUAAAUGCAUCUUUGUACUCGCCAGUUUUAAAGUGUCAUUUCUAGUCUGAUGUCAGGACCCAUGGUCUCAACUUGAUCAGAACCCUGAUAUUUAGUUUAAACAAGUCAUUAAAUGCAUGCUGGUGGUCAAUUAUUUGUUGUUUUCUUUUAUAAAGAUUUUUGGACAUUUAGUGAACAAAGAGAGUAAUGUAUGGUAUAUGUGUUCAUUUAUCAUAUCAAUCAUGAUCACAUUUGUAUACAGGUUUUUGUGCUAAUGUAUGUAAAACUCAAUUUUGAUCAAGUUUUUCCUGUAACAGUUUUUAUAUGCAAUUCAGUAUUUUCAGGAGCUACAAAGGUCAAGAAGACCAAACAUGACAUGCAAAAAUCAGGGUAUUAUAUUUUUGGACAUAUUUGUUACAGAUUUUAUUGUGCUGAAGUUUAUACUUUUUGAUCAAAGUAAAAUUGUCCUUGAGUGAUUAUCAUUGAUCCUGUAGUUCAUAUCAAUUUAUAGUCAUGUGCUGUUUUGUAAAUAAGAUGGCUAACGAAAAACAUUGUAUAUAUUUUGAUAUAGCUCAUUUUGUCCAAAGGACCAGUUCACAAAUGGACGUUAUUUUUAUUAGAGAUGCUGUAUUAUAGUCUUAUCAACUAGCUUAGUGGAUAAGUGUUACCAAUAUCUUUUAAAAGGGUAUUUGUUGUUUGGUGAUUAUUUUUAUAAGUAAACCCCCCCCCCAAAAAGUUAAUGAACUUUUUGGGGGAGGGGGAGGCAUACUAAAGGAAUUACCUUGUCCAUCUGUCCAUGUUCCUACAACUCCUAAAUGGCUGGAUGGUCAUUGAUUAAAUUUUAAGCAGUUGUAGAACACUACCUGGGGAGGUCCAAAAGGGAUUAAAACAAUAGUCCUACAUGCUAAAGGGGAGAUAAUCUAACUUAAUUCAAUGUUGCUAUAUGUGGUAAAAGUCUAUUGUAAGUGCAACUACCAAUCAACAGCUAAAUAGAUAUUGUUAAAACUUAACACAGUUGAAGAACACUACAUGAGAAUGUGCAUAUAAAAGGAAUAUUAUUAUGGUCCAACCAUGUUUAUAAAGGAAAGAUAAUUAACUUACUUUCUUAAAUAUUGCUAUAUGUGGUAAUAGUUUGUUGUAAGCGACUCCUUCUAAACAGGAAGGCAGUAGUUAAUAACUUUACACAGUUGAAGAAGCAUACAUGAGGAUGUGCAUGAAGGAAUAUGAUUGUAGUCCAAAAUGUAAAAGGGUUAAAGGGGAGACAAUCAAUCUUUUUUUAUUUUGGUUCACUCAUAGUUCUUCUUCAUUUAUUUUUUUUGCAGGGGGAGGGGGGAUGUGAAAGAACUUUAUAUACCUCAUUUCUCUAGUUUUUAUGGUAGAUUGACACUGUUCAAAAUUUAUUCACAAAUCAAAAGAAUCUGGUUUAGGCAUGAUGGGAUAUAAUGUGUUUAAACCAGGGGGAGAUAAUUAACACUGGGACACUUAAUGUCAACACAUAAAUACAUGUUUUGGUGAUAUCGAUCAUUCCUUAUAUUCCUGGCAAUAAUUAUCAGAACCAAUACGGUUUAAAUAAUAAAAUGCAUUUGAAACUUAUUUGCAUGAAAUGUUUAUUUGUUCUAGUAGACACAGGAUGUGUAUCAUUUGUAUAAAGUCUUUUGACUAAAAAAUUCCAGAAGAGUUAAAAUUUGUAGCAUGCUUUAGAUUUUAGCCAAAUGUGUUCAGUUUGUUUAUAAAGUGUGUUCAAUUGUUUUUUUAUAAAUAAAUGUGGAAAUACAUGUACAGUGAAAAUCUUAUAAACUGGUUUACCAUACAUAAAAGUCAAUCUUUGGGACAUUAGGGCAGCUGACUUUUGAUGCCCUACAAUAAAGGUGGAAAAUAAAUUUAACACAACAGAAAAUUCCAUUAUAUUUGUUGAUAUUCAAAUUUUGUAGCAUGUGUAUAUUUAACAAAAAUUUAUGGUGGACUUAAACCGUUUUUUAUUUAUUAUAAAUUAGGAAGCAACUCACCCUUGGCAAAGCAGAUAACGGACAAUUUUGGCUUUUAUUUUCAGGCCCAUUUAUGAUUGUUUAAGUUUAUGUAAUUAUUUUUUCAGCAGCAAAAUCAAGGUUAUAGAUUGUUGAUUAUUUUACUGUUUCACCUUUAUUUCAGAUUGAUGCCACAGUUGAGCACAUUAAAAGUUUUACACCGUAGCAUAUUCCAUUCAAUAAAACAGCACACAUGACAAUGAAUAAGUGCUUUGAUUAAUAUACCAUCUUUCAUUACAACUACCAAAUUUUGGAUCAUCGUCAUAUUCAAUUUACCCAGUACUUUCUAAUAUUUUGGUUUUAAAGGUUGCUUGUUUGAAGAAUUUUCACUGUAUAUGCAUAUUUCUAAUUUUGAUUAAAAAAUGAGGCAUGUAAAAUAAAUAAAUGCUUAUGAUAAAUA